GACGAACGCUGGCGGCGUGCUUAACACAUGCAAGUCGAGCGGUAAGGCCUUUCGGGGUACACGAGCGGCGAACGGGUGCGUAACACGUGGGUGAUCUGCCCUGCACUUCGGGAUAAGCCUGGGAAACUGGGUCUAAUACCGGAUAUGACCUCCUAUCGCAUGGUGGGUGGUGGAAAGAUUUAUCGGUGCAGGAUGGGCCCGCGGCCUAUCAGCUUGUUGGUGGGGUAAUGGCCUACCAAGGCGACGACGGGUAGCCGACCUGAGAGGGUGACCGGCCACACUGGGACUGAGACACGGCCCAGACGCCUACGGGAGGCAGCAGUGGGGAAUAUUGCACAAUGGGCGAAAGCCUGAUGCAGCGACGCUGCGUGAGGGAUGACGGCCUUCGGGUUGUAAACCUCUUUCAGCAGGGACGAAGCGCAAGUGACGGUACCUGCAGAAGAAGCACCGGCUAACUACGUG
rnacentral:rRNA from 1 species